UACGAAGGGGGCUAGCGUUGCUCGGAAUCACUGGGCGUAAAGCGCACGUAGGCGGCUUGUUAAGUCAGGGGUGAAAUCCUGGAGCUCAACUCCAGAACUGCCCUUGAUACUGGCGAGCUUGAGUCCGGGAGAGGUGAGUGGAACUGCGAGUGUAGAGGUGAAAUUCGUAGAUAUUCGCAAGAACACCAGUGGCGAAGGCGGCUCACUGGCCCGGUACUGACGCUGAGGUGCGAAAGCGUGGGGAGCAAACAGG
rnacentral:rRNA from 1 species